AUGUUAGCUUGCUAACAGGCGUCGAGUGACGGACGGGUGAGUAACGCGUGGGAAUCUACCAAAUAGGCGGGGAUAGCCCGGAGAAAUCCGGAAUUAAUACCGCAUAAUCUCUACGGAAGUAAAGGGGGCCUCUAUUUAUAAGCUUUCACUAUUUGAUGAGCCUGCGUAAGAUUAGCUUGUUGGUGAGGUAAAAGCUCACCAAGGCGACGAUCUUUAGCUGGUCUGAGAGGAUGAUCAGCCACACUGGGACUGAGACACGGCCCAGACUCC
rnacentral:rRNA from 1 species